rnacentral:lncRNA from 1 species
GGAACUUUUGUUAAUUUAUCCAUAAUUGUGGCACAUCUUUGCUAUUUUUUUCCGUUCUCCUACUACAAAUUCAGAAUCAUUUGUACUAGUUUCAUUUGUAUACCUAGCUUCGUCGUUACUAGAUGAAGAAGAGGUCAUCUAUCAAGACAUAAAACAAACAACAUUAAGAUACUGACAUCAUCAACAAUAUCAUCAUCAAUACAAUGGCAUCAUCAAUAACAUGGGUAUCAUCAACAAUAUCAUCAUCAAUACAAUGGCAUCAUCAAUAACAUGGGCAUCAUCAACAACAACAACAGUGACAUCAUCAACACAAUGACAUCAACAACAACAAAUACAUAAAUGACAAUAUGACACCAUCAACAACAAUGGCAUCAUCAACAACAAUGGCAUCAACAAUAACAAAUACAUAAGCAUCAGUUGCAACAUCGAGACAAUGGCAUCAACAACAACAAAUACAUAAACACGGAUGGAAAAGGACAUCACUGUAGAUGUAUGGGGAAAAGGUUUACAUACUGGAAACGUGAUGAGUAAGUAAAAAAAUAUUGUUAGAAUCUUUGAGUUUCUCCUCGACAACUAAACCAAAGGCUAUUCAAGAACGAAGAACACAGUGUCGACUCCUUCCUCUACAGGGUGAAACUGGUUUUGUGUCAUUAUGGUUGAAAAUGGUGUUGUUUUGUUAGGGUUGAAAAUCUUGUUUCGUUAGAGGUUGUUUUUUGAUGGAAAUAAAAAUAUGAAACUGAAGAGACAAGUUAGUUAUCUCUAUUUAAAGUGAUUAAAUAAUAUCACCAACGUUGUUUAUCAAAACCGUUGUGAUAUAUGAUGAAAUUUUAUAAUAAAGUGUCAGGUUUUAAGCAGUUAAAAUUUUUAAAAAUAAUUAAAAAUAUAUUAUAACAGUGUUUUUAGACCUCGUGGUGAUAUAAGAUUUACAUUAAUGAUAUUUAAUAACAAAAUCGUCAGGUUUUAAGUAAUUAAGAAAUAUAUAUAAUAUAUCAUAAUGGUUAGGUUAAAGAAUCGUAGAGAUAUAACUUUCUUUUUUUAAAAUAAAAAUGAAAGGUGGUGCUAAAAUACUAAAGAAAUUACGAAUUAGUAGAAAUUGAGAAUCGAACUCAUAAAACGUCAAAUGAUAUCACUAUGAUUUAUUUUAAAAACUCGUGGUAAUAAAUUAGCAACGUUUAAUUAAAAACUAAUAUAUAUAUAUUUAUAUAUAUAAAUAUAUAUAUAUAUAAUGUCAUUGUGUUGAUGAUGCCGUAUUAAUUUAAAUUAUCAUAUACUCUAUAACUUAUAAAUAGUAUUAUUGUGCAAUGUUGUGAGAAAUUCACACCACAACGACGGUUAUUUGCAAGCAACAUAUAUACGGACCAAAAUCGCGAGAGUCACAUCGCGACCACAACUCGAAUGAGACUAUUUUUUAAAAUCUUGCAGGCAUCCAUUAGAGUUAAGUAUAACUAUAAUACCUAAAUAAAAUAAAUAACAAUAUAUUCAAAUUCACCACUUCUGUCUCAAGUUGAAUAGCUAUUCUCGACCGUUGUUAGGUCAUUCACAAAUGAUAUCGCAACAUAUUAAUAAUUAAAAAUUAGUGGUUAAUAGACAAAGAUAAUGCCUUUUAAUAUAAAAAUAAUCUUCGCUUUCUCAAUCGCCAAAAUAAAUAGCACGAACAUAUUCAAUCUUUAGUGACCAAUAGCGAUCGGAGACAAUUUUUUUUGUAGUAUUAUCAAAUUAGUAUCCAAAACUUGAGUCUCUAAAUGAUAUUUCUAAUGUUGUGCUUGACUUUAAGAUGAAUGUAAUAAUUAGAUAUGGAAUAUAUAUUAAUUCCGUGUUAAAUUUAAAAUAAAAUGUAAGUUAAGUUAAAGAAAAAUCUCAAUUAUUAAAAUUUUAUAGUUAAUGUAGGGUGAAAACUGACAUAACAAAAUAAUUUUUAAUUUAAAUACUAAAAAUACUAUAAGAUUGUAAUGAAUGUAUGAAAAAUGAAUACUUGAAUUGAUACCUAAAAUUUAUAAAAAGAGAUAGUCUAAGUAAUAUUAAUUGAGACCUUAUUUUAUUUCAUAGCCUUCAUCUUAGAUUAUAAAGUCAUAAAAAUACAAUUCUUGAAAUUAAAUAAGAAAAUAAAAACAAAAGUUAAGUGACAGCACAAUUGAUAUAGUGAAAUUGGCCACUCUCUUGGAUAAUGAUCCUAUAUACUCCCUCUGUUUUUAUAUAAGUUUUUUUGGGAAGAAAAUUUAUAAUAAAAUAUAAAUUUGUUUUGUAAUACUACAAAAUUAUUAAUAUUAUUUUUUAAUUCUGUUCCAUACAGAAUGAUUAUUUUUUUAAGAUGUGUGGAAAAUAAAAAACAAUUUAUAAAAAGCAGAGAUAAUAUAAUAUUAAGAAGAUAUAAACUCUUCUGCCGCUGCUACACAUCUACACCAACUACUGACACACUUUACUGUCUUAGGUUCUUCACACAAAUAUGGAAGACAACCCGAAUCAGUAGAACAUCGAUAGAACACGGCUGUGAGGAUAAGAGAUGAUAAAGUAAUCAAAAUCAUAUUGGUCAAAAUAUUGUGUACAAAUUAAAUAAGAAAGUUUGAAAAACAUAAAAAUGACUUACAUUCAACAACGUUUAUAGAAGCAAAACAUAGAAAAGAUAUGAUAAUUGUCACAUAAACAAACUUUAUAAUUUUAGCCAUAUUUCUUCUCUUUUCCAUGUAAUAAAUGGUUUUAUCAUUU